rnacentral:rRNA from 1 species
CAUGUGGGGCAAGCGUUGUUCGGAAUUACUGGGCAUAAAGGGUGCGUAGGUGGUUUGUUAAGUCAGGGGUGAAAUCCCGCGGCCCAACCGUGGAGCUGCCUUUGAUACUGGCGAACUUGAGUGCGUGAGGGGUAGGGGGAACGAGCAGUGUAGCGGUGAAAUGCGUAGAUAUUGCUCGGAAGGCCAGAGCCGAAGGGGCCCUACUGGUGCGCAACUGACACUGAGGCACGAAAGCGUGGGGAGCAAACAGGAUUAGAUACCCUGGUAGUCCACGCCGUAAACUAUGAGCACUAAAUGGAUGCCGAGCUAUCGGUGUCUGUCGGAGGCAAUUUGGUAAGUGCUCCGCCUGGGGAGUAUGGUCGCAAGGCUG